AUACGUAGGGGGCAAGCGUUGUCCGGAAUUACUGGGCGUAAAGCGCACGCAGGCUGACUUAUAAGUCGGUAGUCUAAUGCGGAGGCUCAACUUCCGUUUAUCUAUCGAUACUGUAAGACUAGAGUAUGUGAGAGGGAAGUGGAAUUCCCGGUGUAGCGGUGAAAUGCGUAGAUAUCGGGGGGAACACCAGUGGCGAAGGCGGCGUACCGGCACAAUACUGAUGCUCUUGUGCCAAAGCUAGGGUAGCGAACGGGAUUAGAUACCCCGUCAUCCCUAGCCGUAACCGAUGGAUACUAGGUGUGGGUGUCGAAGGGCACCCGUGCCGCAUCAAACGCGGUAAGUCUCCCGCCUGGGGACUACGGUCGCAAGACUGAAACUCAAAUGAAUUGACGGGG
rnacentral:rRNA from 1 species